rnacentral:rRNA from 1 species
AUGGCAGCACGUGAGUGUAGGGAGACGGGCGCAUACCAAGAAGUGAAUCAUGACCUUGCUGAGAAGGUGAUGGACACACCGAAUAGUCGGCAUUCAGCGUCAAUAGCUUCUCAUGAUGGAACCAGUGGCACUUUAGAUUUGAAGAGUCACAUGAGCUCUUGUGGUGCUAGGCAUGCACCAAUAGGCCCAAAGCAACAAAAGUUAAGGUUGAGAAAGGUUGAUGAUGGAAACGCCAAUUUGGAGAAUAUUAUUUUUGAUCAAGAUGUUGCCAGGAAAGAGCUUCCACUAAUGAUUUGUGUUCAUGAGUACCCUCUAUCUAUGGUUGGUCACUUG